rnacentral:tRNA from 1 species
GUAGCUUAAUGGUAAAGCUCCCAACCAAUAAUUGGGGGAUCUGGGUUCAAGUCCUGGC